rnacentral:tRNA from 2 species
GGGCGCGUAGCUCAGCUGGGAGAGCGCUGCGUUCGCAAUGCAGAGGUCGCGAGUUCGAUCCUCGCCGCGUCCA